rnacentral:rRNA from 1 species
CCUACGGGUGGCAGCAGUGGGGAAUAUUGCACAAUGGGGGAAACCCUGAUGCAGCGACGCCGCGUGAGUGAAGAAGUAAUUCGUUACGUAAAGCUCUAUCAGCAGGGAAGAAACACUGACCUUACGGUCAGCAGACGGUACCUGAGUAAGAAGCCCCGGCUAACUACGUGCCAGCAGCCGCGGUAAUACGUAGGGGGCAAGCGUUAUCCGGAUUUACUGGGUGUAAAGGGAGCGUAGACGGUGCGCCAAGUCUGGAGUGAAAUGCCGGGGCCCAACCCCGGAACUGCUCUGGAAACUGUGAAGCUGGAGUGCAGGAGAGGUAAGCGGAAUUCCUGGUGUAGCGGUGAAAUGCGUAGAUAUCAGGAGGAACACCGGCGGCGAAGGCGGCUUACUGGACUGUAACUGACGUUGAGGCUCGAAGGCGUGGGGAGCAAACAGGAUUAGAUACCCCUGUAGUC